rnacentral:tRNA from 1 species
GAUGCGGAUCAGUGGUAGAAUGCUCGCCUGCCACGCGGGCGGCCCGGGUUCGGUUCCCGGCCGAUGCACCA